rnacentral:tRNA from 1 species
GUAGUGGCUCUGUGGUAGAGUGCUUGCCUGGCAUGUGUGAGGGCCUGAGUUCUAUCCCCAGCACCACA